GGUAGAAGUAACAGUCAGUGGAUAUUCCCCCUUCCUUUUUUUCCUUUUUUUUAUAUUGUAUCUUUUCACAGCUCCUGUGAAAGUUUGGAUAUGUGUAAAACCAUCCAUACCUACUGGGUUAAUGCUAGUUGAAUCAAUGUUGUUUCCAUGUAAUUUCAAUGAAAUGACAUUGAACCAACGUGGAAUAGACAUUGACUUGACGUCUGUGUCCAGUGGGUAGUCUACGUUGUCUAAGGCCUAAUAUUAUAUGUCCACGGGGAGAAAUUAGGGCACUUCAACGUCUAGAUCUUCCAACGAGCGGAGGAUCCUCUACCAUGAGUCGCCCAGCGAGCCAGCACCCCAGCCCAUUCAACAGUCUGCCCAGGUCAGCGAUGCCCGUUUGUCGGGACUCCAUCCAAAUCCUGUGGUUUCCUCCUCUAGUGCACCCUCUAUUUUGCUCAUCAGAUGGGAGCCCCCACCACCGAGAGGUCCAAGGUUGUCAUGGUUAUUUCCCUGCUAAUCGGUCAGGCAUUGUAGUGGGCUAUGGCCAUCUGGGAGAGGAGCUGGGUUCCUAUGAGAGGUUCAUGGAUCUGUUCAGGGGAGUCUUUGAUCAUCCACCGGAGGGCAGAGAGGGGGGGUGAGUGCCUACUCCAACUAUGGCAGGAGGGCCAGGGUACUGCGGAGUACGUCCUCACCUUCCGUACAGUGGCAGCAUCCAGCGACUGGAAUGAGCCGGGCUCCACACCUUAUACAGAAGAGGAUUGUGCGAAGAGGUCCAGACAGCGUUAGCAUGCCCGAGAUGACACCCUCUCAUUGGACACAUUCAUUGCGAUGGCCAUCCGUCUGGAUAACCUCCUUUGGAAGAGUCGGCACCCCCAUCGCCUUUCUCCCUCCUUUGUUGACCGUUCUGAGUCAGAGCCUGAACCCAUGGCGGUAGGGGACAUGCCUUUCCACGGUUGAGCGACGACGUCCCUGUAGUGGUCAAGAGGGGCACCAGCUUCAACGGUGUCCGCUACAUCCCAACCCGGGAGCCACUAGAGCAAAGGGACGGCCCCAUGAUCAUCAGUCUCCCGGGGUCACUGAGACACUGUUCCAGCAGGUCUUCUGGCACUAUGGUCUUCCAGAGGACAUCAUCUCCGACCGUGGUCCCCAAUUCACGUCGCAGGAAUGGAGAGCCUUCAUGGAGAAGCUGGGAGUCACGGUCAGUCUCACAUCCAGGUAACGGUCUCAGUCCAACGGGCAGGUGGAGAGGACCAACCAGCAGUGAGGCACCCGUAUUUCAUCCUGGUGAUCACGUCUGGCUCUCCACCAGGAACCUCCUGCUCUGCUGGAAGCUGAGCCCCCAGUUUGUGGGGCCAUUCAAAGUCCUCAGGAGGGUCAAUGAGGUAACUUACCGAUUACAGCUCCCCACUAACUUCUGGAUCUCACCCUCUUUUCACGUUUCCCUCAGGCUGGGGGUUCCUGGUCCCCUGGCUGAUGCCGUCCCCAACUACACCCCUCCGCCUCCCCUGGACAUCGAGGGAAACCCCACAUAUGCCGUCAGAUCCCUCCUGGACUCCCAACAUCGUGGGGGUCAGCUCCAGUACCUGGUGGACUGGGAGGGGUAUGGUCCAGAGGAGCGGUGUUGAGUUCCAGUGGAUGACAUUCUAGAUCCUAACAUCAUCCGUGAUUUCCACCGCUGAUGUCCGGACCAGCCCACUCCUCGCCCUCGGUGCCGUCAUCCUGGCCGGCGUCAUCCUGCGGCUGGAGCUGCACAUUGGGGGGGUGGGUACUGUCACAUCUACUCCCGCUUACCCUUUUCUGCACUCAACGUCACCGGUCUACUAACCACCGGUCCUGGCAACCUAUCAUUACGCACACCUGGCAACCUUCAUUACGCACACAUGCAUCUCAUCAUUAGGCACAACUGGAGUUCAUCACUUCCCUGAUUACUCCCCCUUAAUCUAGCACUUCGUUGUUAUCACCCAUCAUACAGCAUUGUUUCUGUGUUCAUGUUCAGAUGCUACUCUUGUUUGUUUAUUUACUCUGUUCGUUCUUAUUAAACUCACCGACUGCACCUGCUUCCUGA
ensembl:lncRNA